ensembl:snoRNA Gm25725 predicted gene, 25725
UCAUCUCCUAGGGACAUUGCAGGUGUGGCUACUGUGCCAUGUGGGCUUCUGUAGAUGGCAGAGAGGAGAGAGGGUACAUUUACUCAGUGUUCUGACCUGUGAACAUCUAAAUGAUUCAUAGCCUGACGGU